AUAAUCACCGGGUACCACCACCGAAAAAUACUCACUGGAUACCACCAGACAACUACCCUGGCCCCCCAAUGCAGUAUUACCCUGGCCCCCCUAUGCAGU